AUGUUGGUUGUUCUGAACGUACAUGUUGCAACAGAGAUAAUGGAUUCUGAUUUCAGUGAUGGGAUCCUUGAGACUAAAAAAAUGCAGAAAGAAGUGGAAUUGCAGCCGUGGUCUUCCUAUGUGAGGCAACCAUUGCUUGAUCUUGUCAUGGAUAGUAUUCUGAGCUAUCAUCGUACUAUUACUGCCACUCUCCUUGGCAUUGUUGGCAUGUUCAGGGGACAACCUACCUUGAUUGAGGGGAUGAGGAGGAACUUCCCUGAUGGUUGUGAGCGGGAUUCCAUGGAAGAGCACUUCAGUUAUUUGCAAUAUGUGCAGCUGCAACUAUGGCGACCUACACAUACACAUGGGUCUGCACUAGGUGAACAACAAUCAGGUUUCAAUUUUUGGCCAGUAAAGCUACGAUUCAGAGAUAAUUAUGCACAUGAAGCUUGGUACUGCUGCAUUUUUGACACUUGGAUCAUGAGCAAACUAAUGGGAAUCACUUCGCAAGAUGAUGCAAUGUAUGGUGUUAAUUUCACUUUCAGCUUCCUUCAUGCACACAGUGGUGAACAAGUUCAGUCGUUAACACAGGAUUUCUCAUGCAUGUGUUUCCUCAACGACACAUAUGUUCAGUUUGCGGGUUCAAGAGCUAAAGUUCAGUUUACUUCACUGAUCACAUUCAAGGGUUGUUCCCCACUUGGUGCAACAACGUUUGGUGACAACACUCAUGACAUGCCGUCCGCCACAAGCAAGCAGACCAUCGCUGAAGAUAUAUAUGCCAAGACAACCUGUUGGACACUAAUUCAGUUGGUGGUUAUUGCGUUGCACGACAACGACCCUUCGAUGUUAUUUCCUCUCCAUUUCUUGAGAAAUUGGUGCUUAGCAAGAGGCUCCUUGUUGGAUAUCAUACUCAGAGUAUUGAGAUGCCCAUCACAUGCUGUUUCUAAACUAGAUGGAAUGGUUGACAAGACGGAGCCAAUCUCUAAAAUGGGCAUCCGCAUUCAUUUGUCAGAGCAGCAAUUGACACUUCUUGCACCCGAUGAGGACGUAUAUGCGCAUAAAGACAUACAAGCUGCAAUUUAUGUACACAAGUCAUGGGAUCCCGGGGGUGUCACCAUGCCUGCUUGCAAUCCUCAGCCGUCGAAGAUCCUAAGGUUGAUGCUCACCAGCCAUGAAGCACAACCUAUGAGUGGUAUGUCGUCCUCUCAAUGCUCUGAUGAAGAACAUUUUCAAGGAGGGGGAAAUGUCAUCGCGGUCGUUCUUGAUGCCGGAUUGCUGCAAGGCUACAUCGACCACAUGUACUACAUUAGCUUCUACAAGGACUACUUCCUUGACACCUCCUUCGGUCAGGUCGCCAUCGGCCACGGCUACUACAACCUCGUCAUUCAACUCAACUACGACUUUGAGCUAGUCAAGGAACAUCGAGUGCAAUGGGAUCCCGGCGGUUCUCGGUGGCAUCGGCUUGAGGGCAAGCCGAUUUUCAAGGAGGAGGGGAUGUUAGGAGCCCUCCUAACACAGGUCCUAACAUGGGCUUUGCCCAUUGGGCCAGCUCAUGGGCCUAGCUGCUGCUGGUACAAAUACCUGGAGGAAAGCAACGAGAGAGGCAUCCAGUGGAUCACGGCUAUCGGCACGGCGGCUUCCUCCUCUUCUCCUACUACCUCUGGCUUCUUCCUCCUUGAGCAAUUCUUCUUGUAUCUGGUCUUGUAA
rnacentral:rRNA from 1 species